ACGCNCGACACCUACGGGAGCAGCAGUGAGGAAUAUUGGUCAAUGGGCGCAGGCCUGAACCAGCCAAGUAGCGUGAAGGAUGACUGCCCUAUGGGUUGUAAACUUCUUUUAUAUGGGAAUAAAGUUUUCCACGUGUGGAAUUUUGUAUGUACCAUAUGAAUAAGGAUCGGCUAACUCCGUGUCAGCAGCCGCGGUUAAUCUGAGGCGGGCUGGACGAAGGC
rnacentral:rRNA from 1 species